GGUAUGUUGAUUAUGCUUAACUGAAUAUAAAAUCCUACGCAUAUAUUUAAGUGUUGGCAAGAUAAGAGCAUCCUUUUCAUUUCCAUUAAUUACUGCAGGUGAAGAAUGUGCCUAUCCCAAGUGACGAGGCUGAACAACCAGCACCAAAGCCAGUCCCCAAAUCACAGACGACUCUAAGGCAUGUUAUGCUAAAAGACAUGUAGUGAAAGCUUUAUAGACAGAUAUAUCCUGCAAAAAUGAGAAAAAAUAAUACCUCUCUAAUCAGGAUUUCCUCAAUCAAUUCAUAGUCAGUAGAUUCUCUUUAUGAAUAAGAUGCAGUAUAAAUAACUGAGAAUUGAAGCUAUUAUACAGGACUACGUAUAACCAUUUUGCAUAUGCUUAUGUAACCUAUAAUGUCAUUUAAGCUAACGAGACACAAUUUAUGUGCAGCAUGAGACGCUCACAGUCCCGAUUGCAAAGGUAAAGAGUAUAAUUAGAACCCCACAAUUACCUGCUAGCUCAGUAUUUUUCUACUAAGCCACAUGAAAACUCUAACAAAUUUACCAUAUUUUCAGGUUGUUUGGAGUCUGAAUAAAGGUCAAACAAGGUAGCUUGGUUGAGAUUGCAAUUUGAGCCACCCGAAUUGCAUGCUGAACAUUUAAUUAUAAAGAAGAAAUACAGUUUGUAAUCAUUAAUUGAUGUAAUGAAUAACUUCUAAAUUCAGAAUGAAGUUUGAGGUUUCCAAACUAAAUAUAUAUCCAAUUCUUAUAGAAAUCUUCUUCCAGUGACUGAUAUCUACCCCAUGACUUGAUGAAUCUUAGUUGAGGAAAGUCACUUUCAGAUGAGCAUAUCAGUAUACUGUACUAUCCUUUCAAAGAACUAAAAUAUUACUUGGUGUUUGAACUUGAUAAAUUACCAAUUCAAUAUACUCGUUUUUGUAAACUCAUAAAACUGUUUUGUUUCUGAUACCUAGUAAACUGAGACAGAGGAUUUCCUCCCGAAAUGUAUAUAUAUAUAUAUAUAUAUAUACAGACGUUAUCAGGUGCGGANNNNNNNNNNNNNNNNNNNNNNNNNNNNNNNNNNNNNNNNNNNNNNNNNNNNNNNNNNNNNNNNNNNNNNNNNNNNNNNNNNNNNNNNNNNNNNNNGCGGACGUCUGUAUCUGAAACGGACUGUGUAUAUAUAUAUAUAUAUAGAUCAAAGUUAAUCAAAUGGUUAUUAGAAAGCCAAUUAAAUUCACAAGAAAACUAGCACAGUGCCUAAGUAAUUUUAGCUAGCUUGGUUAAAUGAUUUGCAUCCACCUCAAGCCCUUGGGGUAGGAUUAAUUUGGAGACUCUACUAAUGAAGCAAGCAGUGGAUCUAAGCUUACCUGAAAACCUGAUUAUCUAGUAGUUUUUACUACAUGAAUUCACCAUUAACCAGUUCCAACCACCAACCUCAAUAACAACAGCUAUCAGUGAAAAACUUGUGUGACUCAAUUAUCCUCACCCAUGCUUAUUUGUUAGCAUCCUAUCACACAAAAAAGAAAAAUAGGAAGAGCAAGAAGCACAUGACCAAGUGACCAUAUUACUGGAUAUCCCCCAAAUUUCAGGUAGAGAAACCAUUCCAUUCAGUACUUAACUCCCAGCAAACUGCAAAAAACGCGAAUAAAACCUACGUACCCAUAAGAUAAGCCUAAAGUAUGAAUGAUAUGCUUAUCCUCAACUAAAGAAGCGAGAUUCAUAUUCGAAAUUUGUUCAAGCUGAUAAUGAUGCAAAUCGAAUGAAUAUAUAGCAAGCUGUCUUACCAUGGCAGUUUCGUCUUUCUGCAAUCAACUUCUCAGCUCCCAGGUAAUUUGAGAUUCUUGUUCCUCCCUCCAUAUCUCUGAGUAUUUGUCUGCAAUCAGAGAAAAGUUUUACCCAUUAAGGUUAUGGUUAUCUAAGAUGAAUUGAAUAUUAACCCUGUGCUUGUUAAUCGGAUUAGGAGUAGUGAUUGAAGUUGGUUUUGUUUUUGGUAGAACUUUUAAAAGCUCAUGUUUAACGAGAUACCCUCCAACGGGUUAUCUUCAAAGAGUGAAGAAGAAAUCGCGGAGAAGAAUUUUGAUUCGGAGGAGACUGCUAUCAGUGAUAACUGCUUGCCAGCGCGCCGACGUUAUAAAACGAGAUAAAGUGAUAAUUGAAUAGUCUUAGUCUAUGAGCUCAAUUUCAUAAUUGAUUUUGUGACGGUUACUUAUCACCGAGUCAUGUCUUUGAACUGUGUACUUUAAGUAGCAACUUUUAGAUAGUGGUGUUGUUGUUUAUGGUUCAUCUAGGCGAAUCAACUUUUAGAUAGUGGUGUUGAUGCUUAAUUUUAAUAGGAAACGACAAUGAUUCAAAAAUUACAAGGUAUAAUCUCAUAACAUUAGUCGUUGGAUAUAAGGAGUAAAACAUUCUUUGGAUAGUUAUGGAUUUGUCUUAGACUUUCCUUUCUUCUACCAUGUACUUUCACAUGAGUAGAGAAAAUUUCUUAAGUUGAGUACUACUUAAGAACUUUUUAAAAAGAAAAAGAAAAAAAAAACAAAAACAAAAACAAAAGAAGAACCUUCCUAAAACAAAAGAGUGGAAAACCCCUUAACAUGUAAAAUUAUAUUCUGAUGAGUUACCUUGUUAUUCUUAAGUUGAGGACUAUUUCCGUUCCAAUCAUGUACUUUUGAACCGAGCAAAAUAAAUUAAGGGGUUCUCCGCUCUUUUAUUCUUGGGAAGGUUCUUUUCGGAAGCAAAUUUAGAGCGGAACCCUUCCCAAAACAAAAACAAAAGAAGUAUAACCAUGGAGCAAAAA
rnacentral:lncRNA from 1 species